CUCCGGGUUGAUCCUAGGGGGACCCGACUGCUAUCAGAGUGGGACUAAGCCAUGCGAGUCAACAUAGCAAUAUGUGGCAUACGGCUCAGUAACACGUAGUCAACAUGCCCAGGGGACGUGGAUAACCUCGGGAAACUGAGGAUAAACCGCGAUAGGUCAUCACUUCUGGAAUGGGUAAUGACUUAAAUCUAUAUGGCCCCUGGAUUGGACUGCGGCCGAUCAGGCUGUUGGUGAGGUAAUGGCCCACCAAACCUGUAACCGGUACGGGCUCUGAGAGGAGGAGCCCGGAGAUGGGCACUGAGACAAGGGCCCAGGCCCUAUGGGGCGCAGCAGGCGCGAAACCUCUGCAAUAGGCGAAAGCUUGACAGGGUUACUCUGAGUGAUUUCCGUUAAGGAGAUCUUUUGGCACCUCUAAAAAUGGUGCAGAAUAAGGGGUGGGCAAGUCUGGUGUCAGCCGCCGCGGUAAUACCAGCACCCCGAGUGGUCGGGACGUUUAUUGGGCCUAAAGCAUCCGUAGCCGGUUCUACAAGUCUUCCGUUAAAUCCACCUGCUUAACAGAUGGGCUGCGGAAGAUACUAUAGAGCUAGGAGGCGGGAGAGGCAAGCGGUACUCGAUGGGUAGGGGUAAAAUCCGUUGAUCCAUUGAAGACCACCAGUGGCGAAGGCGGCUUGCCAGAACGCGCUCGACGGUGAGGGAUGAAAGCUGGGGGAGCAAACCGGAUUAGAUACCCGGGUAGUCCCAGCUGUAAACGAUGCAGACUCGGUGAUGAGUUGGCUUAUUGCUAACUCAGUGCCGCAGGGAAGCCGUUAAGUUUGCCGCCUGGGGAGUACGGUCGCAAGACUGAAACUUAAAGGAAUUGGCGGGGGAGCA
rnacentral:rRNA from 1 species